UAAUGGGUCAGCGACUUAUAUUCUGUAGCAAGGUUAACCGUAUAGGGGAGCCGAAGGGAAACCGAGUCUUAACUGGGCGUUAAGUUGCAGGGUAUAGACCCGAAACCCGGUGAUCUAGCCAUGGGCAGGUUGAAGGUUGGGUAACACUAACUGGAGGACCGAACCGACUAAUGUUGAAAAAUUAGCGGAUGACCUGUGGCUGGGGGUGAAAGGCCAAUCAAACCGGGAGAUAGCUGGUUCUCCCCGAAAGCUAUUUAGGUAGCGCCUCGUGAACUCAUCUUCGGGGGUAGAGCACUGUUUCGGCUAGGGGGCCAUCCCGGCUUACCAACCCGAUGCAAACUACGAAUACCGAAGAAUGUUAUCACGGGAGACACACGGCGGGUGCUAACGUCCGUCGUGAAGAGGGAAACAACCCAGACCGCCAGCUAAGGUCCCAAAGUCAUGGUUAAGUGGGAAACGAUGUGGGAAGGCACAGACAGCCAGGAUGUUGGCUUAGAAGCAGCCAUCAUUUAAAGAAAGCGUAAUAGCUCACUGGUCGAGUCGGCCUGCGCGGAAGAUGUAACGGGGCUAAACCAUGCACCGAAGCUGCGGCAGCGACACUAUGUGUUGUUGGGUAGGGGAGCGUUCUGUAAGCCGUUGAAGGUGUGCUGUGAGGCAUGCUGGAGGUAUCAGAAGUGCGAAUGCUGACAUAAGUAACGAUAAAGCGGGUGAAAAGCCCGCUCGCCGGAAGACCAAGGGUUCCUGUCCAACGUUAAUCGGGGCAGGGUGAGUCGACCCCUAAGGCGAGGCCGAAAGGCGUAGUCGAUGGGAAACAGGUUAAUAUUCCUGUACUUGGUGUUACUGCGAAGGGGGGACGGAGAAGGCUAUGUCAGCCGGGCGACGGUUGUCCCGGUUUAAGCAUGUAGGCGGAGGUUCCAGGUAAAUCCGGUACCUUAUUAACGCUGAGGUGUGAUGACGAGGCACUACGGUGCUGAAGUGAUAAAUGCCCUGCUUCCAGGAAAAGCCUCUAAGCAUCAGGUAACAC
rnacentral:rRNA from 1 species